GAGUUUGAUCCUGGCUCAGGAUGAACGCUGGCGGCGUGCCUAAUGCAUGCAAGUCGAGCGAACAUCCUUAUCUCUGAUAAGGGUGGCGAGCGGCAAACGGGUGAGUAACACGUGGGCACAUGCCCUGAGGCGAGGGAUAGCCACGGGAAACCGUGGGUAAUAUCUCGUACAACUUCGGUUUGAAAGUCGGGGAUCCUUCGGCCUGGCGCCUUAGGAGUGGCCCGCGUCCUAUCAGCUAGUUGGUGAGGUAACGGCCCACCAAGGCUAUGACAGGUAGCAGGCAUUAUGUGUGGUCUGCCACAUCGGAACUGAGAUACUGUCCGGACUCCUGCGGGAGGCUGCAGUCGAGAAUCUUUCCCAAUGCGCGAAAGCGUGAGGAUGCGACGCCGCGUGGAGGAUGAAGGCCUUCGGGUCGUAAACUCCUUUUGUCAGAGAAGAAAUUCUUUCCGCGAAUAGUGGGAAAGCUGACGUUAUCUGACGAAUAAGCCACGGCUAACUCCGUGCCAGCAGCCGCGGUAAUACGGAGGUGGCAAGCGUUACUCGGAAUCACUGGGUGUAAAGGGUCCGCAGGCGGCAAUGCAAGUGGGAGGUGAAAUCCUUCGGCUCAACCGGAGAAUUGCCCCCUAUACUGCAUUGCUAGAGGAUAUGAGAGGAGAGUGGAACUGCACGUGUAAAGGUGAAAUUUGUGGAUAUGUGCAGGAACGCCAAUGGUGAAGACAACUCUCUGGCAUAUUUCUGACGCUCAUGGACGANAGCGUGGGAGCAAACAGGAUUAGAUACCCUGGUAGUCCACGCUGUAAACGAUGAGUACUGGAUGUCUGAGCUUUGGCUUGGGCGUCAAGCUAACGCGUUAAGUACUCCACCUGGGGACUACGGCCGCAAGGCUAAAACUCAAAGGAAUUGACGGGGGCCCGCACNAGCGGUGGAACAUGUGGUUUAAUUCGAUGCUACGCGAGGAACCUUACCUGGGUUUGACAUGAAGAAGAGAAACCUGAAAGGGGGACGCGUAUCCAAUCGGACUGCACAGGUGCUGCAUGGUUGUCGUCAGCUCGUGCCGUGAGGUGUCGCCUUAAGUGGCUUAACGAGCGCAACCCUCAUUGUUAGUUGCCAGCUUUAUCAAGCGCACUCUAGCGAGACUGCCCGUUUAAACGGGAGGAAGGUGGGGAUGACGUCAAAUCAGCAUGGCCCUUAUGUCCAGGGCUACACACGUGUUACAAUGCCGUAUACAAAGGGGGCCAAGCCGCGAGGCGGAGCAAAUCCCUAAAAGUACGGCCCAGUUCGGAUUGCAGGCUGCAAUUCGCCUGCAUGAAGUUGGAAUCGCUAGUAAUGGCGCAUCAGAACGGCGCCGUGAAUACGUUCCCGGGCCUUGUACACACCGCCCGUCAAGCGCUGAAAGGAGGAGCACCCGAAGCUCCAGUAGUCUGGAUCCACGGUGAACUUCGUAAUUGGUGCUAAGUCGUAACAAGGUAGCCGUACGGGAACGUGCGGCUGGAUCACCU
rnacentral:rRNA from 1 species